GACGAACGCUGGCGGCAUGCUUAACACAUGCAAGUCGAACGGAGAGGCCCUGCUUUUGUGGGGUGCUCGAGUGGCGAACGGGUGAGUAACACGUGAGUAACCUGCCCUUGACUUUGGGAUAACUUCAGGAAACUGGGGCUAAUACCGGAUAGGAGCUCCUGCUGCAUGGUGGGGGUUGGAAAGUUUCGGCGGUUGGGGAUGGACUCGCGGCUUAUCAGCUUGUUGGUGGGGUAGUGGCUUACCAAGGCUUUGACGGGUAGCCGGCCUGAGAGGGUGACCGGCCACAUUGGGACUGAGAUACGGCCCAGACUCCUACGGGAGGCAGCAGUGGGGAAUAUUGCACAAUGGGCGGAAGCCUGAUGCAGCAACGCCGCGUGCGGGAUGACGGCCUUCGGGUUGUAAACCGCUUUCGCCUGUGACGAAGCGUGAGUGACGGUAAUGGGUAAAGAAGCACCGGCUAACUACGUG
rnacentral:rRNA from 1 species